AACAGGGAAGGAACUGAAAGAGUUCAGUCAGUUUAGACUCCAUUAUAGCAACAGACCUGCGUCAGAUGCGUCUAGUCAAAUAAAAGGAAGAAAAAAAAGGAUCCAUUUUGAGUCGACAGAGCAGCAGGAGGAAAACUGAGACAGGACUGACUGAAGUCCAGAAGAUGAGUGUUUGUGUGGAGGAAGAGGAGGACAGAGCAGAGUCUGCAGCAUCCAGCUGUCUGUCUAUGAAGAGUGACCGGUCCAAACAUCUUCCUCCAGUCUUCAGUAAUGAACCUGGACCCUCAGACACAAAAAAGAGGAAGAGGAGUCCUGUUCCUGUGGAGGAGCAGCCGUCCUGCUGUGCUUUGUGUCAGGAC